rnacentral:rRNA from 1 species
UACGGAGGGUGCAAGCGUUAUCCGGAUUCACUGGGUUUAAAGGGUGCGUAGGUGGGUUGGCAAGUCAGUGGUGAAAUCUCCAGGCUUACUCGUGAAACUGCCAUUGAUACUAUCAAUCUUGAAUACCGUGGAGGUCAGCGGAAUAUGUCAUGUAGCGGUGAAAUGCUUAGAUAUGACAUAGAACACCAAUUGCGAAGGCAGCUGGCUACACGAAUAUUGACACUGAUGCACGAAAGCGUGGGGAUCAAACAGG